GAUGAACGCUGGCGGCGUGCCUAAUACAUGCAAGUCGAGCGAACAGACGAGGAGCUUGCUCCUCUGACGUUAGCGGCGGACGGGUGAGUAACACGUGGAUAACCUACCUAUAAGACUGGGAUAACUUCGGGAAACCGGAGCUAAUACCGGAUAAUAUAUUGAACCGCAUGGUUCAAUAGUGAAAGACGGUUUUGCUGUCACUUAUAGAUGGAUCCGCGCCGCAUUAGCUAGUUGGUAAGGUAACGGCUUACCAAGGCAACGAUGCGUUGCCGACCUGAGAGGGUGAUCGGCCACACUGGAACUGAGACACGGUCCAGACUCCUACGGGAGGCAGCAGUAGGGAAUCUUCCGCAGUGGGCGAAAGCCUGACGGAGCAACGCCGCGUGAGUGAUGAAGGUCUUCGGAUCGUAAAACUCUGUUAUUAGGGAAGAACAAAUGUGUAAGUAACUAUGCACGUCUUGACGGUACCUAAUCAGAAAGCCACGGCUAACUACGUG
rnacentral:rRNA from 1 species